rnacentral:rRNA from 1 species
CAGUCGCCACGGUAAAACGUAGGUGGCAAGCGUCGUCCGGAAUUAUUGGGCGUAAAGGGCUCGCAGGCGGUUUCUUAAGUCUGAUGUGAAAGCCCCCGGCUCAACCGGGGAGGGUCAUUGGAAACUGGGAAACUUGAGUGCAGAAGAGGAGAGUGGAAUUCCACGUGUAGCGGUGAAAUGCGUAGAGAUGUGGAGGAACACCAGUGGCGAAGGCGACUCUCUGGUCUGUAACUGACGCUGAGGAGCGAAAGCGUGGGGAGCGAACAGGAUUAGAUACCCCGGUAGUCCCUGUCUCUUAUAA